rnacentral:rRNA from 1 species
CCUACGGGUGGCUGCAGUAAGGAAUAUUGGACAAUGCCCGGAAGGGUGAUCCAGCCAUGCCGCGUGCAGGAAGACGGCCCUAUGGGUUGUAAACUGCUUUUGAACAAGAGAAAACCCCUUUACGUGUAAAGGGCUGAUAGUAUUGUUAGAAUAAGCAUCGGCUAACUUCGUGCCAGCAGCCGCGGUAAGACGAAGGAUGCAAGCGUUAUCCGGAUUCAUUGGGUUUAAAGGGAGCGUAGGUGGAAUGAUAAGUCAGUGGUGAAAGCCGGCAGCUU